ensembl:lncRNA
GGGAGGGGAAGGGAAAGCAACAUUCCCAAAUGCUGACUGUCUCUCUGUCUACACACCUGCGCCUCUCCACAGACCUGCGUCAACCCACCAUGGACUGCUGCAAACCGGACUGGACUUGUAGGGCUACCUGGUCUUUACUGAAGAGCCUGGAUGAGAUGGUACAAAGAAGGAGACACAUACUUUGUCUGAAAUGGCACCACUUGAGCAUACAGGGAAAAUGGUGUCGUUUUGGAUGCACUCAGAGAGCAGUCCUGUCCUGGGGCCUACAGAGAGGGAGUGGAACGGGGAGAGGGGCCAAGACGGUCCACCUACAAGUAGUCUCACGGUAUUCCAUUCCCUCCGUCUUUAUCCUCCGAAGCUGUGGAGUGUGACAAUGGUGUUUGUGUCCUCUGCUAUCAAACGCCAUUUUCACACUAUUUAGCUACGGUGAGAAGAGAACAGCGUCACCGCGACCCCGUGCCCUGAGGUCAGUCAAACAGAGAUAGUGGCGGGGAAGUAAGGGUCACACCUUACAUGGCCAUAUAUCCUGGUUGGUUAACUCAAUGCGGUUUGGUUCUCUCUUCACACGCCUUGAAUCUUGUUGUUGCUGGUUUGAGAGGGGAUUGUUGUUGCAUGUAAUUCCUCCUACCCACCAUGGGAAAUAAGGUCAUAAACUAAAUGCAGAGAGCGUAUAAAGUUUGUAGUUUGAGUAAAGUUUGGCUGGAUGAGAUUUUAAUAUGACUGGUUGUGAUUGGUCACAUCUGACUGUAAAAUGUAAGUUUUAAAAGCAGAUGUGUGAUACAGUGGCAAUACAUGAAGCUUCAGAUGCUUGCUGACCCAUUUCCUUCUCUGCCUACACGUUAUACUGUGUUACUAAUGCACAGACAUCUUUUAGAGACCCAGAUACAUGACCCAUUGUGUUUUCAUGUGAUGCUGGAAGAAAAUAGUAUUGCGUCCUCUCUGUUGUCUAUGUUGUCAAUGAAUCCAAAUUAAAAACAUGUCUCUACUUACAUAAUGUUGGUCUUUGGUGUCUAGUUUAAUGGCAGUAGGACAUGACCUUUCACACUUUGGAAGUUUAAAUUCCAAUAAAGUUUAGUGUUUCAGUGAGACUCACUAGGCAGAAAAACAACACUUCCUGGGACACAAAGAGGGAGCCUACAGUGUUAAUGGGGCCGUUGGUUUUCAGACAAUCAGUCACAGGAGGUUGGUGGGACCUGGGGAGGAUGGGCUCCUGGUAAUGACUGGGGAGGAAUCAGUGGAAUGGUAUCAAAUACAUUAACCACAUGGUUUCCAUGGUUUCCAUGUGUUUGAUGCCAUUCCAUUAGCUCCGUUCCAGGCCUUUAUUAUGAGCCGUCCUCCCCUCAGCAGCCUCCACUGCAGCAGAGGGUGGAGAAGAAAAGCUACAAGUUAUGUGCAAGGAAACCAUGAAUAAAGUCAAGCGAACCUGCCGGUUCCAAGUGGGGGAAAAGCAUCUGCUUUCUUUUGCAAAUAGAAAUAACAGCAUUCUCCAUGCACCUUAAUUGAUACAUUUAUAAGACCUAAAUAAAUUAGUAAUCCGUUUGGAGAAGUGGAUUGUAAACACCAGCCAUAUGGAAGCAAACUGAAAAUCAUAACAUGAAAAUGUAUUGUGGCCACAUUGAAAUAGGACAAAAAUAGCUGUGCCAUUCCGAUUUUAAUUGCGUGCCCUCGUGAUUUUCUUGGAUGACAUUUGGAGACCCAAACUGCCGAGUUGAUGUACGCAUUUUAGAAUGUUUGGAUUAUACAUCCGGGUUUCUCUGUUUUAUUUUACAAUUUGUAUCAUGUUAAACAUUAGCCACUAUCGUUAGCCACCAUCAGUAAUAACCACAUAUAUUUAUUUUUGCAUCAUUCCAUUCCAUUUACCUUUCUUUCCUCUGUCACGUCCUUGUGAAUUGUUCCUGAGACUCGCUAGUAAUAUUGGAUUAUAUUAGGCAAACGUUGUGCAAUAAUUGGGGGCCACGUAACGUAGCAGGUUAAAUAGCAGGUUAAACCUGGCGCCUGGCGCACGGUUCAAGACGACUGGACCGUUGAUGAUCAGUGAGAAUUAGGAUGGAUUUUAUUGUUCAACCCUUAUUGUACACUUUUUUCUAACUUCCAAUAUUUCAUGUAUUGAACUUGACUAUGACAACUUUCAGGAUGAAUCAAACCACUGUAUUUUUUAUUCAUCAAUAUAUUCUGUGCAUAAAGGCUCUCCAAACUGUUUUAUUUUAUUUUAUUCGUACAUAGACUAUUUCCUAACUGCCAAAUGUGCCUAAAUAAUCUACAAGA